CAGCCGCCGCGGUAAUACGUAGGGUGCAAGCGUUAAUCGGAAUUACUGGGCGUAAAGCGUGCGCAGGCGGUUAUAUAAGACAGAUGUGAAAUCCCCGGGCUCAACCUGGGAACUGCAUUUGUGACUGUAUAGCUAGAGUACGGCAGAGGGGGAUGGAAUUCCGCGUGUAGCAGUGAAAUGCGUAGAUAUGCGGAGGAACACCGAUGGCGAAGGCAAUCCCCUGGGCCUGUACUGACGCUCAUGCACGAAAGCGUGGGGAGCAAACAGGAUUAGAUACCCCUGUAGUCCCUGUCUCUUAUCC
rnacentral:rRNA from 1 species